AUGACUCUGAGUUACCCAAUGGCCGUGGGACUCAACAAGGACCACAAGCUGAGACACAGCCAGCACCUCGGGCACCUCACCAAACACACCAAGUUCGUGCGGGACACAAUCUGAGAGAUGUGCGGCUUCACGCCCUAUGGGCGAGUGGCGUGCCAUAGAGUUGCUCAACGUGUCCAAGGACAAGUGCGCACUUAAGUUUAUCAAGCAGAAGGCAGGCGCGCACAGCCAUGCCAAGAGAGAGCAGGAGGAAAACUGAACAAUGUGUUGGCAGCCACGAGGAAGGCAGAGGCCAAGAAGUAUUGA
rnacentral:lncRNA from 1 species